UACCAAUAUGACCUUGCCCUUGUACAUUAAUAUUCGUAGCGGGGAUAUAGAAGUGCAUAUAUACCUUGUUUACCCGUUUCUUAAGCAUCUUUAUUCCUACAGACCUGCAAUUCAUGGUGUAAGAGGAAGGAAAACGCCACUUAAAGUUUCGCAACAAGGAAAGAUUUGACAGAUAUAUUCUAAAAUGGAUAUAAAGCCAACUGUUGCAUUUAGGGCAGCGAUUGUAGCUGGUAUAGCUGCUUGUGCCAAAUUUGCGGGUGUAGUGAAGGCUGCAGGUGGUGUAAAGUUGGGAGCAGCAGCUGCAGCAAUGACUGCAGCUGCUACUGCAGCCGUUUCUGGGUCAAAGAAAGAAUCUCCUUGAUGCUGCAUGCCUUCUUUCAACAAUUUUAUUUGUUAAGAGCGGGAAGAACCCCUUAGAAGCUUUUGGAGUGAAAGAAAUUUAUUUCAGGCAAUUAGUACAGCAACCAUGAAUAUCAGGAUCAUAAAAUUAUCUAUGGACAAAAUAAAAUGGAAAUAGGAAGAUGUUAGGAAUUAACCAUUAUUUCUUCAGGUUAAAGAAAUAAAUUAUAUCCUUUUAGAAGAUUUCGAUAAAAAGUUUUUGAUAUAACAUAUAAAUAGCCUCCAGUCAAUUAUGAACU